UACGUAGGGAGCAAGCGUUGUUCGGAUUUACUGGGCGUAAAGGGCGCGUAGGCGGCAAUUCAAGUCAUCUGUGAAAUCUCCGGGCUUAACUCGGAACGGUCAGAUGAUACUGCUUUGCUAGAGUGCAGAAGGGGCAAUCGGAAUUCUCGGUGUAGCGGUGAAAUGCGUAGAUAUCGAGAGGAACACCAGAGGUGAAGACGGGUUGCUGGGCUGACACUGACGCUGAGGCGCGAAAGCCAGGGGAGCAAACGGG
rnacentral:rRNA from 1 species